rnacentral:rRNA from 1 species
CCUACGGGGCGCUGCAGUGGGGAAUAUUGGACAAUGGGCGAAAGCCUGAUCCAGCCAUGCCGCGUGUGUGAAGAAGGCCUUCGGGUUGUAAAGCACUUUCAGUGGGGAAGAAAGCCUUGGGGCUAAUACCCUCGAGGAAGGACAUCACCCACAGAAGAAGCACCGGCUAACUCCGUGCCAGCAGCCGCGGUAAUACGGAGGGGUGCGAGCGUUAAUCGGAAUUACUGGGCGUAAAGCGCGCGUAGGCGGUCUGAUAAGCCGGUUGGGAAAGCCCCGGGGCUCAACCUGGGAACGGCAUCCGGAACGUCAGGCUUGGGUUGCGGAGAGGAAGGUAGAAAUCCCGGGGGAGGGGGGAAAUGCGGUGAGGUCGGGAGGAAUAACCGGGGCGAAGGGCGGCUUUCGGGACGGAACCGGAGGCGGGGUGGGAAAGGGUGGGUAGCAAACAGGAUUAGAUACCCUGGUAGUC